rnacentral:rRNA from 1 species
AUUGAACGCUGGCGGCAUGCCUUACACAUGCAAGUCGAACGGCAGCAUGGAAGAGCUUGCUCUUCUGAUGGCGAGUGGCGAACGGGUGAGUAAAGCAUCGGAACGUACCGUGUAGUGGGGGAUAACGUAGCGAAAGUUACGCUAAUACCGCAUACGCACUGAGGUGGAAAGCAGGGGAUCGCAAGACCUUGCGCUAUACGAGCGGCCGAUGUCAGAUUAGCUAGUUGGUAGGGUAAAGGCCUACCAAGGCGACGAUCUGUAGCGGGUCCGAGAGGAUGAUCCGCCACACUGGGACUGAGACACGGCCCAGACUCCUACGGGAGGCAGCAGUGGGGAAUUUUGGACAAUGGGGGAAACCCUGAUCCAGCCAUGCCGCGUGAGUGAAGAAGACCUUCGGGUUGUAAAGCUCUUUCGGCUGGGAAGAAAUCGCACAGGCUAAUACUCUGUGUGGAUGACGGUACCAGCACAAGAAGCACCGGCUAACUACGUGCCAGCCGCCGCGGUAAAAC